AAAUAAAAUAAAAUAAAAUAAAAUAAAAAGUGAAAUUAGUAAAAUAUAAAUAGCGAAAUAAUCUCUUAAAAAGUGAAAAGUGUAAUUAAUAUAGGCCAAGUAAUGAAAAGUCUUAGUGAUAUCUCUUUAAAAAAAUAAAAUGUGUAAGUGCUAUGAGCAAAGUUUAAAUAGCGAAAUAAAAUCUCAUAAAAAAAUAAAAAAAAGAAAUAUAUAAUUAUUGAAAGUAAGUAAUUAUUAAGUAAGUAAGUGUCUCUAUUUAAGAAAAAGUGAAAUAAAAGUCUUUUUAAUCUGAAAGAAAAAUCCAAGUGAAAAUAAUAUGGUUCAAGUAAUGAAAAAAAUAUCAUAAAAAAAUAAAAAGUAAAAAAUAAAAAUAAAAAGUAAAAAGAAAUAAUAAAAAAAAAUUUAAUAAAGGUCCAAUUAUAAGUUUAUGUAGAGAAAUCUCCCUAAAAUAAAAUUAAAAGUGAAAUCAAUAAAGUUGAAAUAGUGAAAUAAAAUAUCAUAAAAAAAUUAAUAAAGUAAUUAAGUGCCAUUAGUUAAGAAAAAAAUAAAUAAAAGUCAAGUAUUAAGUGAAAAAUCCAAAGUCAAAAUAAUAUAUAGUCCAAAUGGUGGAAAAAAAAAAAAAAAAAAUAAGUUAAAGUGCAAUUAAGUGUUUAAAUAGUGAAAUUUCUUAAAAAAAAAAUAAAAAGUGAAAUUAAUAAAGUGUAAAUCGUGAAAUAAAGUCUUAUAAAAUAAUAUCAUAUAAAAAAACUUUAAAUAAAAAAAAUUAAAAUAAAAGUGUAAUUAAAAGUCCAAAAAAGUUAAAUCUCUUUAAAAAUAACAUUUGAAGUGAAAAUAAUAAAGUGUAAAUAGUGAAAAAUCGUGCCAAAAUGAAAAGUAAAAUCCAACAAGUUGCCACUAAAAAUGCCGUCCUUCCCACACAGGCCCUUGCAACUCGCAAAAUUCCUACUGGACAAAAAGUAUCCCUACUGGGCAGCAAAAUACACACCAGUUGAUGCCUCAGCAUUUUCGCCGUUUACCAUUUUCAUUGUGAUCCUGUGCUAACAAUAAUUUAUGGGAAUUUUCAUAGAAAUAAAAUAACAACACACACGUCCGUUUGUGUGUGAAUGUGCGAGCGUAAACAUCGACGCUGUUAAUUAACGAACGAAAUUAUGCAAUGAUGGCAUGACAGCGUGCACAAACAGAACACAGAACGAAAACAAAAACAAAAACAUAAACGAAAAAUAACGAUAUACACACAAUUGGCCAGAAGGUAUACCAAACAGCAUCGUUCUCAGCUCUUCAGCAAAAAUUUGCUCUUUUGACUUCUCUUUAUCUCACCGCCGCAUUUUUCGCUUUGGCCUACUGCCAGUAAAUGAGGUGAUUUAACGGUAAAAUGAAAAAGUUAUUAUUUCGAUCAAUUAAUAGCGGCUGUUGUGUGCGAAGUGCAAAAGCAAUUGUAAUAAAAGUGCUGGACAAUAAGAACAAGCUGCUGCUGCCACUCAGGGUAUUGUGUUGAUUAUAUAAGAAGAAAGCGAGAAGAAUAAGUGUCUGUGAAAGUGAUUUAUAUGUGCAGUGUCAUAGAGAAAUGUGAAAGAUAAGUGAAAUUGUGAAUGUGUUAAGUGCAAAAAAAAAUAUUAAAAAAAGUGUCAAUGCGCAAAGUGUAGGAAAAUAGCGAAUUCUAAGACCCACGCUGCAGAAUAUUGGAAUUGGUAAGUGAAGUGAAGUAA